CCGCUCCAGCAGUGCAUAUACUAAAAUUGGAACGAUGCAGAGAAGAUUAGUAUGGCCCCUGUGCUAGAAUAACAUGCAAAUUUGUGAAGCAUUCCAUAUUUUU
rnacentral:snRNA from 1 species